rnacentral:rRNA from 1 species
AUUGAACGCUGGCGGCAUGCUUUACACAUGCAAGUCGAACGGUAACAGGCCGCAAGGUGCUGACGAGUGGCGGACGGGUGCGUAAUGCAUCGGAACGUGCCCAGUCGUGGGGGAUAACUACUCGAAAGAGUAGCUAAUACCGCAUACGAUCUAUGGAUGAAAGCGGGGGACCGUAAGGCCUCGUGCGAUUGGAGCGGCCGAUGUCAGAUUAGGUAGUUGGUGGGGUAAAGGCUCACCAAGCCAACGAUCUGUAGCUGGUCUGAGAGGACGACCAGCCACACUGGGACUGAGACACGGCCCAGACUCCUACGGGAGGCAGCAGUGGGGAAUUUUGGACAAUGGGCGCAAGCCUGAUCCAGCAAUGCCGCGUGCAGGAAGAAGGCCUUCGGGUUGUAAACUGCUUUUGUACGGAACGAAACGGCUCUGGUUAAUACCCGGGGCUAAUGACGGUACCGUAAGAAUAAGCACCGGCUAACUACGUG